rnacentral:rRNA from 1 species
AACAGGAUUAGAUACCCUGGUAGUCCACGCUGUAAACGAUGUCGAUUUGGAGGUUGUGCCCUUGAGGCGUGGCUUCCGGAGCUAACGCGUUAAAUCGACCGCCUGGGGAGUACGGCCGCAAGGUUAAAACUCAAAUGAAUUGACGGGGGCCCGCACAAGCGGUGGAGCAUGUGGUUUAAUUCGAUGCAACGCGAAGAACCUUACCUACUCUUGACAUCCAGAGAACUUUCCAGAGAUGGAUUGGUGCCUUCGGGAACUCUGAGACAGGUGCUGCAUGGCUGUCGUCAGCUCGUGUUGUGAAAUGUUGGGUUAAGUCCCGCAACGAGCGCAACCCUUAUCCUUUGUUGCCAGCGGUUCGGCCGGGAACUCAAAGGAGACUGCCAGUGAUAAACUGGAGGAAGGUGGGGAUGACGUCAAGUCAUCAUGGCCCUUACGAGUAGGGCUACACACGUGCUACAAUGGCGUAUACAAAGAGAAGCGACCUCGCGAGAGCAAGCGGACCUCAUAAAGUACGUCGUAGUCCGGAUUGGAGUCUGCAACUCGACUCCAUGAAGUCGGAAUCGCUAGUAAUCGUAGAUCAGAAUGCUACGGUGAAUACGUUCCCGGGCCUUGUACACACCGCCCGUCACACCAUGGGAGUGGGUUGCAAAAGAAGUAGGUAGCUUAACCUUCGGGAGGGCGCUUACCACUUUGUGAUUCAUGACUGGGGGUGAAAGUCGUAACAAGGUAGCC